rnacentral:rRNA from 1 species
UAUUGGGCGUAAGCGCGCGCAGGCGGUUUCUUAAGUCUGAUGUGAAAGCCCCCGGCUCAACCGGGGAGGGUCAUUGGAAACUGGGGAACUUGAGUGCAGAAGAGGAGAGUGGAAUUCCACGUGUAGCGGUGAAAUGCGUAGAGAUGUGGAGGAACACCAGUGGCGAAGGCGACUCUCUGGUCUGUAACUGACGCUGAGGCGCGAAAGCGUGGGGAGCGAACAGGAUUAGAUACCCUGGUAGUCCACGCCGUAAACGAUGAGUGCUAAGUGUUAGAGGGUUUCCGCCCUUUAGUGCUGCAGCAAACGCAUUAAGCACUCCGCCUGGGGAGUACGGUCGCAAGACUGAAACUCAAAGGAAUUGACGGGGGCCCGCACAAGCGGUGGAGCAUGUGGUUUAAUUCGAAGCAACGCGAAGAACCUUACCAGGUCUUGACAUCCUCUGACACCCCUAGAGAUAGGGCUUCCCCUUCGGGGGCAGAGUGACAGGUGGUGCAUGGUUGUCGUCAGCUCGUGUCGUGAGAUGUUGGGUUAAGUCCCGCAACGAGCGCAACCCUUGAUCUUAGUUGCCAGCAUUCAGUUGGGCACUCUAAGGUGACUGCCGGUGACAAACCGGAGGAAGGUGGGGAUGACGUCAAAUCAUCAUGCCCCUUAUGACCUGGGCUACACACGUGCUACAAUGGACAGAACAAAGGGCAGCGAAGCCGCGAGGCUCAGCCAAUCCCACAAAUCUGUUCUCAGUUCGGAUCGCAGUCUGCAACUCGACUGCGUGAAGCUGGAAUCG